rnacentral:rRNA from 1 species
AUUGAACGCUGGCGGCAGGCCUAACACAUGCAAGUCGAACGAGUGGCGGACGGGUGAGUAAUGUCUGGGAAACUGGCUUAUGGGGGGGGAUAACGACGGGAAACGGUCGCUAAUACCGCGUACCAUAGGCUGUGCCCAUGUGGGAUUAGGUUGUUGGUGGGGUAACGGCUCACCAAGCCGACGAUCUCUAGCUGGUCUGAGAGGAUGACCGGCCACACUGGGACGGAGACACGGCCCAGACUCCUACGGGAGGCAGCAGGGGGGAAUAUUGCGCAAGGGGGGCAACCCUGACGCAGCCAUGCCGCGUGAAUGAAGAAGGCCUUCGGGUUGUAAAGUACUUUCGGUAGCGAGGCGUUAACUACAGAAGAAGCACCGGCUAACUCCGUGCCAGCAGCCGCGGUAAUUC